rnacentral:lncRNA from 1 species
GGUCAAAUACAAGCAAUCACCCAAAACAUAAACAAGUCCAAAAUGUGCCAUAAAUAUCAAAUCAUAUGUGCACCGACAGGAUGCUCCAUAUAACAAGACACUUAUAAACACGUGACCAUGUAGUAGUAUACAAGUAUAAUUAUGGAAAUAACAUGACAAUGUGAUCAACAUGCUCAUUUCCAUAAAGUCCAGAUGUCUAGCAAAAUGAGACGAAAACAAUAUGUCUCCUAGACCAUCGCUUCUUUAUAACCAUAAUGAGACUAUAGCAAAAUGUCUCGAGAAGCGAGCUUCCUUUUUAAUCAUAAUGAGACUAAAUCAAAAUGUCUCAAGAAAGCACACUGAAGCUAAAUCAUAAUGCUGCAGUCUUUAAUGUCCAUAUUGAGACUGAGCAAAAUGUCUCGGACCAUCGUAUC